CGACCUCAGUUUUGGUGAGACUACCCCCUGAAUUUAAGCAUAUUAAUAAGGGGAGGAAAAGAAACUAAC
rnacentral:rRNA from 1 species